UGGGGAAUAUUGCACAAUGGGCGCAAGCCUGAUGCAGCCAUGCCGCGUGUGUGAAGAAGGCCUUCGGGUUGUAAAGCACUUUCAGCGAGGAGGAAGGUGGUGGACUUAAUACGUCAUCAAUUGACGUUACUCGCAGAAGAAGCACCGGCUAACUCCGUGCCAGCAGCCGCGGUAAUACGGAGGGUGCAAGCGUUAAUCGGAAUUACUGGGCGUAAAGCGCACGCAGGCGGUUUGUUAAGUCAGAUGUGAAAUCCCCGGGCUCAACCUGGGAACUGCAUUUGAAACUGGCAAGCUAGAGUCUCGUAGAGGGGGGUAGAAUUCCAGGUGUAGCGGUGAAAUGCGUAGAGAUCUGGAGGAAUACCGGUGGCGAAGGCGGCCCCCUGGACGAAGACUGACGCUCAGGUGCGAAAGCGUGGGGCAGCAAACAGGAUUAGAUACCCUGGUA
rnacentral:rRNA from 1 species